GCUUGCUCCCUGAUGUUAGCGGCGGACGGGUGAGUAACACGUGGGUAACCUGCCUGUAAGACUGGGAUAACUCCGGGAAACCGGGGCUAAUACCGGAUGCUUGUUUGAACCGCAUGGUUCAAACAUAAAAGGUGGCUUCGGCUACCACUUACAGAUGGACCCGCGGCGCAUUAGCUAGUUGGUGAGGUAAUGGCUCACCAAGGCAACGAUGCGUAGCCGACCUGAGAGGGUGAUCGGCCACACUGGGACUGAGACACGGCCCAGACUCCUACGGGAGGCAGCAGUAGGGAAUCUUCCGCAAUGGACGAAAGUCUGACGGAGCAACGCCGCGUGAGUGAUGAAGGUUUUCGGAUCGUAAAGCUCUGUUGUUAGGGAAGAACAAGUACCGUUCGAAUAGGGCGGUACCUUGACGGUACCUAACCAGAAAGCCACGGCUAACUACGUGCCAGCAGCCGCGGUAAUACGUAGGUGGCAAGCGUUGUCCGGAA
rnacentral:rRNA from 1 species